UAAAAUCAAUAACUUAUUCUUAAGUAUUUGACAGCACUGAAUGUCAAAACAAAACCUUCACUCGCAACUAGAAUAACUCCCGCUAUCAUCAUUAACUUUAUUUAUUACCGUCAUUCAUUUCUGAAUGUCUGUUUACCCCUAUUUCAACCGGAUGCCUCGCAUUCGGUUUUUUUU
rnacentral:misc_RNA from 1 species